CAAGCAGAGUGAAGAACUGCACCUUUACAUUGAUUCAGAUUUUAUUGACAGUUUGACAAAAUGGCAAAUUAAACAGACCAUUACUGUAGCGACAGCGUUUAAACGGUUAAAAUAUCAUGAAAGAAGAAGACAUACAAACAGGAAAGCACAGACUGGUUCUCAGAAGUCACCAAAACAAACAUGGCACUUUGAUUUGGGCCGCCCGGUUCUGAAACUACAACAUGGAGGAGGAAACGACUGGAGAGAAGAAAACCAGAUUCCUCAUCUUUCCCACAACCUUGAACCAAGCAGCGUUAGUGCGAAGUAGAAGGUAUUUAGAGCGUUUUCACCAGAAACUGUAAUAAAGUACAGAAAUAACGGAGCUCAGGAGGUUUCACUGGGACUUUGCUCCAUGUUUCAUAUCGCAGCUUGAAAAUACGACAAUAUUAAAUAUUUCAGCUGGAAGCCAUUAAGCAGUCGCAGUAAAAAGUCACAAAAAACAAAAUACAACCGAGUAUUUUUGGUUUAAUUUACAGUUUUAAUACUUUAGUACAUUUGAAAUGAGACGACUAACUUACAGGUAACUUUUCAGCAACAUGUAGAAGCUUGUUUUAACUAAAGUAAAAACUUUUAACUCUACUGGCAGACUGUUUCAUUUACCAAGGGGCAGGAGGCCGUUACCUAGCAACCCCAGCCCGUUACCUAGCAACCAGUUCAACUGGCAGAUUUUUUCACUUAUAACAAGUAAAACACCAGUGGAACUAGAACUUUCUGAUAAAUAUUCAUGAAUUAUUAACUUAAAACUAGCUCCUAUUUCUUGCUGAAAAGUUUUUAUAAGUUAGUUUUGACUUAUUUCGAGAAUACUAAGAUAUUUCCACCAGAAACAACCAAAAUGCUCUAAGCAUUUGUGUUUUUGCAGUUCAAACAGAGUUGAUGGAGGUUCUGACCCGGUGAAUGAAGGCUUCAUGAUGUCGCUACGGUUCAAACAAAAAUAUAAAAUUAAAGUAAAUUAAGGUUCAGCAAAUACAGUCGAGGUUUAAAUCAUCUCUGAAAAAUUUUCUUAAGAUUUAAGCAGAACCCACAGAAUCAUCUCAGUUCAUUGUUUUUCACUUCAACAAACACAGAAAAGCUCAAAUUGAAAUAAAAAUCCUUUGACUCAAUCUGGAAAUCACAUCUACUUACUGAAUUCAUAGAAGAUUCUAGAUUUUUAGAUUUAAAACUUCUUAUAGUUUCAUUUUACUCUGAGUAGUCAUAAUUAUGUUUACUGACACAAAUAAGGCUGAAAGUGGUCUAAGACUGUCAAUAAUUCAGCUGAAAAUGCUAAACUUAUAUAUAGACACAUUAUUUACAGACUGAUUCAUAAUACUUUAUACUCAAGAUAAAUAAAAUCUAAUUUUUAAAUAUCAAAUUGGUAUGUUUGGAUGAUCAUGGCCAAGAUAGUUUUGAAAAGUAAGACACGAAAGUUCAUAGCCUAACAAGAUGAGUUCUAUAUCCAAGCAGAAAGUUAAGUGGAAGGAAAAAAUACUGCGGUUAAAAAAACAAAACAUUAGAGAGUAAAUGCUUUUCCUUUUCAGUAGACAACUCCUAGGUUUUUGUUUCCCUCUUUUUAAAUUGAAUUACUGAAAUAUGUUUAGUUUUCAGUGAGACUCUAAAUUACGGAGAUGAACCUGGAGGUGAGAAACGGAUCAAACCCAGGUUGCUUCUGAUGAGGAAACCAGAGAUUAAACCCAGGUUGCUUCUGAUGAGGAAACCAGAGAUUAGAGCAGCUUUGGUUGAACCUGAUUUUCACGUUCGUCUGCAUCAACAAGCGAUUAACGGAUCGUUUCUUUUCCCGGAGCAGGUUUGGUAACGGAAACAGUUUUUCUAGUGCAAAGAACGAAAUCAGAGCUCAUCUGACAUCCACCGGUUUGUUUGGAGCAGAUUUACAAAACCAGUAAACAACAAAUAAAUUUCCAGUUUCUAUAAAAUCUCCUUCUGUCUAAGCUUUUAU